AAAAGAGAAAAUUUGUGCAUGAAAUAUGAGUGGGGGGUGAGUUGGUCCAAUGAGAAAUGAGGAAUGAAUGAACAAAAGUGAAGAAAAAAGAAAAGAAAAUAAUAGAAAAAGAAAGUAACCUUGGGCAAUCCAUCCAUGUGUGAGCAAAAUGAGAAAAUGAAAGCCAUUUUAUGGCUUUUGUCUUGAGAGGUCUGCCUAUAACAAAGAAGAAAAGAGAAAGAAAGAGAGAAAAGAAAGAAAAGAAAAGAAACAUGCAAGAAGGGCUCUGGUUUUAGAAGAAAAAUGUGAAGAAAACAAGUGAGUUCCAUAAGUGAUUUGCCCAUUUGGAAGAGAAAUGAAGAGGAGAUGGCCUUGUGGAGCUUCCACCCGAGAGAAGAGGAAAGAUUGAAAAGAAAGAAAGAAAGAGAAUCGGAUUAAAAGAAGAAGAAAAGAGAAAACCGAGAGGUUUUCCUCCCCACCCACACACCAUUGUUGAAGUUUAAAGAGAUUUUGGCAGUUUGGCUUGGAGAUUUCAAGCAAAAGAAUACCGUGUGGGGUGCCAAGGAAACCAUGCAUGUUGGUGAUUCACAAGAAAUGUGAGAUUACACUACCAAAGAGCUUGAGAUUUCUUGGUUUUAGUUCAAGUUAAAUUAUUGAGGAAUGGAAGUGUAUAAGUAAAGAAAGUGUGCUUGGUGGCGUGCCGGGGAGGUAAUGGGUGAUCGACGAGUAGAAUUAGCUAGAUAUGCACCCAAAUUGAUAGCGAUGCAGUGUCUCGCUGUUGUAAGCUUGAUUUCCCCGAUGUUGGUCAAUAUCAUCGAGACUGCCAUGGCUGUGGGAAUCUAGCGGAGCAACGUUCUUGGAUUGAUAUUACUUGGAGGAGGGUCCACGGGUGAUUACAAUGCUUACCUACUCGAGAGCCUUAUAAUGAUCGGCCUAGCUUGCAAUCAUUAGUGCUUAUGGUCCACCGUAAAUAGGUUUGUUCAGGGACUGGGCAGGUUCUCUUGCAAGAUUUAGACGCCAGUAGUGAUCAAGGAGUGGUCGUUACAUAAAUGCCAAGAUUCAAGAGUAAAAAGGAGAAAAAGGAAUUGACCUUGAGAAGUUAAGAGAGAGUCAGCCAUUGAGAGAGGGAAAGAAAUAAGAAAGUACCUUUGAGGAGAUCCACCCGAGAGGAAGAAAAAAAGAAAGAAAAAGAGGGGAAAGUGGGAAAGGCUUAGGUUGUGAGGAUUUAAGAGAAAUUGUGAGGGUUCCUUCCUUUAUCUUGUAGAGUUGUGAUAUUCUACCACCCAAAGAGUCUUCAACAUUUAAGAGAGAAACCGUGGAGUGUUGAUGGAGGUGUAAAGCUUAGUUUCAAGGUACAAAAGAAACAAGUGGCAGCAAAGAUUAGCUUGAUUGGAGAGGAUUUAGUGACAUGCAAGCCAUCAAACUCUUGGAUGCAUGAUGGAUUCAAAGUGAAAGAGAAACGCAAGAUCUUCAAAGAAUCAAAGGAUCAGAUGCAUGCAUGUUGAUUGUGCACGAGUAUGUGGUGAUUAGAGCUUUAAAAGAAUAUUGAGAUGUAUGCAAGAUCCAAGCCAUCACAAAAGGUGUUUGAAGGAAGAAUUUUAGUAAAAGAAAGAGAGCAAUUUCAAGGUGCAGACUUCCACUGCACAUAUUUCGGUAUUUCGGCCAUAACUUUCUCUACAGUGCUUGAAAUGAAACGAUUCUUGAACCAUUGGAAAGAUAAGAGAGAAAAAACCUACAACUUCACUCACUUCAAGUUGGAUGGGGGUCAAAAAUCUUGUCAAAGUCCUAGAGCAAUUAUGAUUUCUGUUAAUUAAUUGGACAAGGCUGUGAGUUACAUAGUCAGGUGAGGAAAUUCUAGCUGACAUUGACUUCUUUCUCCACCCAACUUGGCCUAACUUCAAAGCCUAUAAAAAUAACCUUUCAGAAAGAAAGGAAAAAAACCACUAGAUUAAAAACUGAGCGUCAAGCCACAAGAGUCAUUGAAGCUAAGAAGAAUUUGAAGGAUUCAAAGAGAUUUGGAGAUCAAGAAUACAACUCUUGAAUUUUCCUAUCUUUUCUGUUAUUCUUUUAUUUUCUUGGUUUUGUUCUCAUUGUUUAAACUUUAUUCAAUGAUGAUGUGUGACUUGAUAGGGAACUAAAUUUUUAAUCUAAGAUUAUGAUAAAAGUCAUUAUGUAA